rnacentral:lncRNA from 1 species
CCUCUCCCCCAGGCCAACAAAUCCUUAUCCCCUUCCGCUUGGGUCUGGGUGAGGAGAGGAGGUGCUCACUCCCCGCAUCUAGGGUUUCCGGCACAAGGAGAGGAAAUCCGGAGGUUUGGAGCGGCGGCGCGACGGAUCUGGAAGAUCCCUGAGAAGAGGUGUGAUCACCGGUCCUUUGUGGAGGUGAUUGGCGCACCAACAAGAGGAAGGCAGCCGAUUUGGGUGGGGGAGAAUGAGGCCAGGCCCGAGGGUUGGAUUCCGGCAAGCAAGGAGGUGAUCAGGGGAAGUUUUGGGGCGGCGAUUCGAGCAGGCAAAGCGGAGUUUGGGGGCAGAAUGAAGACGAGCUUCGUGGGCAACUCCUUACCCAGAAUCAGCGACCUCCUCCCCCCCUCCUCCUCUGGUGCUCGCCCUGCUGAGCGCGAAGGAAGAGAUCCAAGAGAUCAAGAGCAAGGAGGCAGAAUCAAGUGCUUCAAGUGUGGACGUGAAGGUCACCAUCAGGCAACCUGUGCUAAUCCUCCUCUUUGUUACUCUUGCCACAGCUCUGGUCACAUUGCUUCUAACUGCCCUAUGAGUUUGUUUAAAAGAGGUGUUAAGUUGUGUGGUUUUGGCAUACCAGGUCAGGGGUUCUAUAGUCUUCAUGUAGAUGCUACUGAGACUAGUGGUGCUAGAACCCCAGUGAGAGGUAUAUUGACUGUGAUUCAGGGUGUUGCUACGGUUCCCAAAAUUAUCAAUGAGCUGAAAAAUCUUUUCUUGGGCCUUCAGUGGGAUUGGAAAGUAAAGCAGCUAAGUGAUAAAGAGUUCUUGAUUUCUUUCCCAUCUGAAGAUGUCAGGAGCAAGAUCUCUACUUGUAAGAGCUUUGGUUUUGAUACUUGUUCCAUUAAGGCUAGUGUUGUUGAGACAGGAAUGACUGAGGAGGCAAUUGAUGAGUUGGCCGUUGUAUGGGUAAAAAUCUAUGGAAUACCUAAGUUAGCAAGAGCUAAAGAGUCGGUGAAGGCAAUAGUUGAGCUGAUUGGAGAGUUUGAAGCAAUUGAUCACAAUAGCUUGAGAAGAAAUGAGCCAGUUAGGGUGAGAGUAGCUUGUAAGGACCCAAGGGAACUCCACUUUAUAUGGGAACCUGAGGGUUAUCCACCUUAUGAAGAAAAACACGAUCCUUCUGAUGGUGGGGAUGAUGAUGGGGGCAAAGAUGAUACCAAUGAUGAUAUGAAUUUGGAUGAAGAUCCCAGAGGAAAAUGUCCAAAUAGAGGCAGACAAUCUCAAGAGAAAAGAGCUGAUAAGAAGAGUUCUUUUGGAGCCCACUCUGCUCCCCCCACAUACAAAGGAAAGGUGCAACAACGGGAUUACUCUCCUGCUAGACCAGUGAAGAAGAUUGCCUCCAAGAAACAAUCUCUAUUGUCCCCUAAAGAGUUUUUGCCUGAAGAGAAUGCUCUGGUACUUUGGGAAGAAGAUAAAUUGAAUGUUCAGUUGGAACAAGAGUUACAGGAACUAGAGAUUCCACUAAGUAGGCAACUAUCUCAAGUCAGAGAGGGACCUUCUAGAGUUGAGUUUUCUGAAGAUUCUUAUGGAAGUCACCAUGAAGAGUUAGAGAUGUGUGAUAUACCUUCUCUAUCUGACAUAGUUAGACUGAAAGAGGAAGAGGAGGUUGAUGAGGAUAAUAGUUUCAAGGAGGUGUCAAAUAAGAAAAAAGGGAAGAAAGGGGGUGAACCUGCUGUCACCUCUAGAAUGAGCUUGAGACACAGAGACCUGGCGGCCAUCCCUGUCCCUAAGAGAGCUGAGAUCCUGACCCAGAAGAAGAACUUGGAGUCCACAGGUAAUUCCAACCCCUUUGCUAUUUUUCAAUUAAUUGAUAAUGAAGACCUGCUUAAGAUUGCCUCUGCUUCCCAUAUUUCUCUUGGUAAGAAUAGAGAUGAAAUAGAUAGAAACAUAGAUUCUAUUAAGGCCAAGGAAUUAGUUCAGGCCAAACUUUCUGAGUUGAGAUGGAAACAGGAAAAAGAAAGAGUUGACGCCCAGAGAGUUAUAGAUGAUGCUGGAUGUGUAAUCGAUCAGGAUGAGACUGUAGUAGUCCCUGAUGGAGAUGAGAAUGAUGGCUUUUCUAGCCCUGAGCUUAAGAGGAGAUGGGGUUCUAAGACAAAAAAGAAAAAAUGAGAUGUCUCUU